CAGAUCAGCUGUGAGCACAAGGCCUCGGCCCAGCUGAACCGGCUCAGCUGGGAGGCCUCCUUCGGGCUGCUGGAGACCUUGGAGUGCCUCUGGCCAGGUGGCGGCAGGCAAGCGAGACCGGCGUACACCGAGCUGCUGGCCUUUGCCACCCCGAGUGCCUUCCCCUACGGCCAGUCGCCUCAGCCUUGCGCCCGUAUCCGUUGCAAGCACUCGGAGAAGCGGCCGUCCAGAAAGGUCAGUGUGCCAGCACGUGGGGGGGGCGGGGGGGCAGGGUUGUUGCCCGCUGCAAACCCCAAACCAGAAGAAAAUGGGCUCGGGCACCUGCAUCCGAAGGAAUGGGCGGCUCACGCCGAGAGAUGAGCCUGUCGGUCUUAAAGGUGCCGCAACACCUCCGUCUUUGUUUUGGUGUGUUUUUGCUGCUGGCGAUGCAGAGGAGGAGGGCUGCCUUGCCUGAAAGGCGUUCUCGGAACCGCUGGCUCUUCCACUGCCUUUGCUUUUGCCCAGAAUGUUGGGGAAGGACUGCCAGCUUGCUCGGUGUAGCAAAGGAAGGCUAGAUCUGCACAUGCACAGAAGCUAGCCAGAUCGAGCCUUUGCCGCCGGCUACAUGUGUGCGCGUGCCUGGGGCAUAAAUGCUGGAGGACUGUGGGAGUUGUGCCGAAGCGUAGCUGAAAAGGAGCGGGUGCAGCAGCCCUGCAUUUAUAUCUUCUGUUUACGAAUUUUGCAAUGUACGUGCUUCCCUUCAUGGAGAACUGGUUUUAAGGGUUUUUUUUUUUUUGCGGUAAUAGAAUAUUUAAAAGACAAGUAACCAUGGUGCUCAAACAAAUAACAACAUGAGACCAGUCCAUUUGAGAGGCCUAAAUCCAGUUGUUUCCCCAGCUAAAGUAAACUCUCAGAAUUAUAGAAGCAGAGCGGAAAGAGUUCCCCCAAAGGUCAGCCUGUGCCAAAGCAGAAAGUCCGCGGCGAAAGCAUCCCGUACAGGCAGCCAUGCAACCGUUGUUUAAAAGGUCCCAAUGGAGGAGACUCGCACCUCUUGCCGUUUGAGGUAAUCCGUCCUGCCGUCCAACGGCUCUCACCGUCAAGUUCGCCCUAAUGUUGAGGUGAAAUCUCCUUUUCAUCAUCGGAAUCCAUUACUUCGGGUUCUGCCACUUGGAGUUACGGAAAAUGAGUUUGCUGCCAGGGUGGAUAAAAAUCAAUUAUUAUUUUUAAAAUCAUAUAAUGAAUCGUAGAGUAAUGGAGCUGGAAAGGGGCUAGACUCCAAAUCAAAGCGGAUACGAUUGAUGGUUGUCCAAUUUUCUCUUGAAUGCCUCCGAUGUUGGAGCGCUGACCCACUAUCAAGGUCAUUGGUUCCAUUGUCGUACUGCUCUAACAGUUAAGACGUUUUCCCUGAUAUUCAGGCUAAAUCUGGCUUCCUGUAGCUUGAGCCCUUUAUUAUAUGCCCUUUCCCCUUGGGAUGAGUAUUUGAAAAGUGCUAUCCUAUAUCUCCCCAUACAUAGUCUUCUUUCCUCGUGGCUAAACAUGCCCAGUUCUUUCUGUCUUUCCUCAUAGGGCUUGCUU
ensembl:lncRNA